CCCUGUCUGUGCCUUCCCUACC
rnacentral:miRNA from 1 species